rnacentral:lncRNA from 1 species
CCCUCUACACAUGAAAACCAAGCGAUAAAAUGCCAAGGACGCAGCAGCUUAAAACGACAAAACAAAUAUAAUUUCCUAAAAGACGACAAGCUAAUCAGAAAUGUAUGUGGCGUCUUAGCCAAUCCAAUCAACAACUAAAAAGCCCUGAUAACGUGCCGUAUGUGUAGUACCAUGGUUUGAGUUAGAAACACAGAAUAGAAGAGACCCUGACCCUGACACAGGCCAAGCCAAUAAGAGUAGGAUUGACUUGAAAUGGACCCUUUGCACUUGCAGUCGUAAAUCUUACGUUUGACAUUUC